rnacentral:rRNA from 1 species
AGACGGAGGGCGCAAGCGUUGUUCGGAAUUACUGGGCGUAAAGGGCAGGUAGGUGGUCUGUUAAGUCUUCUGUGAAAAUCCGGGGCUCAACCCCGCGAAAUGCAGGUGAAACUGGCAGACUGGAGACCGGUAGAGGCUAGCGGAAUUCCUGGUGUAGCGGUGGAAUGCGUAGAUAUCAGGAAGAACACCUGUGGCGAAGGCGGCUAGCUGGGCCGGUUCUGACACUAAACUGCGAAAGCGUGGGGAGCAAACAGGAUUAGAUACCCCAGUAGUCC